UACGGAGGGUGCAAGCGUUGCUCGGAAUUAUUGGGCGUAAAGGGUAGGUAGGUGGUCUCAUUUGUCUGGGGUGGAAGCCUUGAGCUUAACUCAAGAAGUGCCCCAGAAACGGUGAGACUGGAGUCCUGGAGAGGGUCGUGGAAUUCCCGGUGUAGCGGUGAAAUGCGUAGAGAUCGGGAGGAACACCAGAGGCGAAGGCGGCGACCUGGACAGGUACUGACACUCAACUACGAAAGCGUGGGGAGCGAUCCGG
rnacentral:rRNA from 1 species